rnacentral:sRNA from 12 species
ACUAUUCCGGAUUAUCCCGUCCUUGUACUGAUAUUACAGUAGGAACUAUUAGCGAGUAACUGCAAAAACUUACGUGGUAAAGCAAGACCCGGACACGUUGAAGCUAAUA